rnacentral:rRNA from 1 species
GAUGAACGCUGGCGGCGUGCCUAAUACAUGCAAGUCGAGCGAACAGACGAGGAGCUUGCUCCUCUGAUGUUAGCGGCGGACGGGUGAGUAACACGUGGAUAACCUACCUAUAAGACUGGGAUAACUUCGGGAAACCGGAGCUAAUACCGGAUAAUAUAUUGAACCGCAUGGUUCAAUAGUGAAAGACGGUUUUGCUGCCACUUAUAGAUGGAUCCGCGCCGCAUUAGCUAGUUGGUAAGGUAACGGCUUACCAAGGCAACGAUGCGUAGCCGACCUGAGAGGGUGAUCGGCCACACUGGAACUGAGACACGGUCCAGACUCCUACGGGAGGCAGCAGUAGGGAAUCUUCCGCAAUGGGCGAAAGCCUGACGGAGCAACGCCGCGUGAGUGAUGAAGGUCUUCGGAUCGUAAAACUCUGUUAUUAGGGAAGAACAAAUGUGUAAGUAACUAUGCACGUCUUGACGGUACCUAAUCAGAAAGCCACGGCUAACUACGUG